AGAGUUUGAUCAUGGCUCAGGAUGAACGCUGGCGGCGUGCUUAACACAUGCAAGUCGAACGAUGAUGCCAGCUUGCUGGUGGAUUAGUGGCGAACGGGUGAGUAACACGUGAGUAACCUGCCCUUGACUCUGGGAUAAGCCUGGGAAACUGGGUCUAAUACCGGAUAUGACCUUCCAUCGCAUGGUGGUUGGUGGAAAGCUUUUGUGGUUUUGGAUGGACUCGCGGCCUAUCAGCUUGUUGGUGGGGUAAUGGCCUACCAAGGCGACGACGGGUAGCCGGCCUGAGAGGGUGACCGGCCACACUGGGACUGAGACACGGCCCAGACUCCUACGGGAGGCAGCAGUGGGGAAUAUUGCACAAUGGGCGCAAGCCUGAUGCAGCGACGCCGCGUGAGGGAUGACGGCCUUCGGGUUGUAAACCUCUUUCAGUAGGGAAGAAGCGAAAGUGACGGUACCUGCAGAAGAAGCGCCGGCUAACUACGUGCCAGCAGCCGCGGUAAUACGUAGGGCGCAAGCGUUAUCCGGAAUUAUUGGGCGUAAAGAGCUCGUAGGCGGUUUGUCGCGUCUGCCGUGAAAGUCCGGGGCUCAACUCCGGAUCUGCGGUGGGUACGGGCAGACUAGAGUGAUGUAGGGGAGACUGGAAUUCCUGGUGUAGCGGU
rnacentral:rRNA from 1 species